rnacentral:lncRNA from 1 species
GGGACCCCUAAAGGUCAUCUAGUCCAAUUCCAUUUUAUGACAUAAUACAAUUGACCAAGACCUGACUCCCGAGAGGCACCUCUCCUGAAAGAAAGGGAAAUGAACCCAAAGAAACCUAGCAUGCACAAGCCCAACACAUUACUCUGGUGGUUGAAGAGACUCAUCCCCAGGGGCAGGAGGAGAGAUGCCCAGCAGCCCUGCAGUGAUUUCCAGAGCAGGAAAGGGUACAUGAAGACUUGGGAAGUGCAUCAUCAAUCAGGUGGCCUUAUAAUCCUUGUUGGUCUUUACAGACAAAUCACCCAGCGAUGGCAAAUGGGAUUUACAAAGACGGUAACAGAACUUCAAACUCUGUUCCAGGAUUUCAAGAUACAGCAACUGGACCCAACAAGAGUGCAAGGACAGAUACUGUCCGUGCCAUGUUCUAUACAAUCUAAGGGAACAACCUCCCAGAACAAUUAACUGAUGAAUGCAUUUUAAACCCUCACCUCAAGGCAAAAGGUCCUUGUCCCAUGGCCUUGCAGUCUAGCUUUCCUGUCCCCAGUGUUUUCUGUCUAAGUUUUCAGCAGUUUUCUGUCUAAGUUCCCACUCCUUUCUCUUUUUCCCUCUCUCCUCAAGUUUUUCUUUGACAGCUCGUGUUCCAUGUGACUAGAAACAGGAACGAUUUAAAAGGGUGCCUCUGAUUAUAAUAAAACAAAAAAGCCAGAGGUUGUUUUGUUUUCC